AUGAGCGCCGUGGGGGACGCGGCGAAGCCGGGGCGCUUCCUCGGCGUCUACCUGCUCUAUUGCUUGAACCCUCGGCAUCGGGGCCGCGUGUACGUGGGCUUCACUGUCAACCCUGCGCGUCGGGUCCAGCAGCAUAACGCGGGCCGCAGAAAAGGCGGGGCCUGGCGCACCAGCGGGCGAGGGCCCUGGGAGAUGGUGCUCAUCGUGCACGGCUUCCCGUCUUCGGUGGCUGCGCUCCGGUUCGAGUGGGCCUGGCAGCACCCGCACGCCUCGCGCCGCCUGGCGCACGUGGGCCCCCGCCUGCGCGGCGAGGCCGCCUUCGCCUUCCACCUGCGCGUGCUGGCGCACAUGCUGCGGGCGCCGCCCUGGGCGCGCCUCCCGCUCACGCUGCGCUGGCUGCGCCCCGACUUCCAGCGUGACCUGUGCCCACCGCCGCCGCCGCACGUGCCGCUGGCCUUCGGGCCGCCGCCGCCCCGCGCCGGGGCCCCGAGGCGCCGCGCCGACAUGGAGCCUGGCACCUGCACCCUGUGCUGCGGAGCGCUGCAGGUGAGGUGAGGCCGUCCGGGGUGGAGCGCGAGGACUUUGCCCACCCCACCCCCAGCAGGCAACCUGGUGCCAGCGGUGAGACGGGGACACAGCAGCACCUGCGCAGGCCCGGUCCCCAGCCCACAGGUGUGACUGCGAGCCUGACUUCUAUUCCCCCUUUCUUGUGCCCGGCCCCUACCCCCUCCUGGUACUUACUGUUUGAGACAUUUUCAUCAUCUUAAUUAAUCGCCUGUACUGACCCCCAAGAGGGCACAGAUCCAUCCCCUGGUUCACUCACCAAUGCCUGCAACAGCUGGGGCUGCACCAAAUCGGAGCCGGGAGCCAGGAACUCCCUCUGGGUCUCCCAAGUGUGUGGCAAGGGACCAAAGCGCCCGACCUAUCACCUGCUGCCCGCGAGGGUGCGCAUGAGCAGGAAGCUGGAAUCGGAAGUGGAGCUGGGACUGUAACCCGGCACUCGGACACGGGAUGGAGCCCUCGCCAGCAGCGACUUAACUGCCGGCCCCAAUCGCGUUCUUGUCCACUUCUGUAGAGCCGGAGUCAGCACAGAACAGAUGGCCCAUGAAUAUUUAAUAAGGAAGACCAGGGCCCCCUGCGCUGCCCGCACCCCAGCUGCCGCCUGCGGGCGCACGUGAUCUGCCUGGCGGAAGAGUUCCUUCGGGAAGAGCCGGGACAGCUUCUGCCGCUGGAGGGGCAGUGCCCCAGGUGAG